rnacentral:rRNA from 1 species
GAUGAACGCUGGCGGCGUGCCUAAUACAUGCAAGUCGAGCGAACGGACGAGAAGCUUGCUUCUCUGAUGUUAGCGGCGGACGGGUGAGUAACACGUGGAUAACCUACCUAUAAGACUGGGAUAACUUCUGGAAACCGUAGCUAAUACCGGAUAAUAUUUUGAACCGCAUGGUUCAAAAGUGAAAGACGGUCUUGCUGUCACUUAUAGAUGGAUCCGCGCUGCAUUAGCUAGUUGGUAAGGUAACGGCUUACCAAGGCAACGAUGCAUAGCCGACCUGAGAGGGUGAUCGGCCACACUGGAACUGAGACACGGUCCAGACUCCUACGGGAGGCAGUAGUAGGGAAUCUUCCGCAAUGGGCGAAAGCCUGACGGAGCAACGCCGCGUGAGUGAUGAAGGUCUUCGGAUCGUAAAACUCUGUUAUUAGGGAAGAACAUAUGUGUAAGUAACUGUGCACAUCUUGACGGUACCUAAUCAGAAAGCCACGGCUAACUACGUG